CGCGUACCGCAAAAAAAAAGCAAACAAAAAAACAAAAAAAACCAUUCAGUUUUAUUAAUUAACAUAUUAAGUUCCCACAUAGCCUAAAUAAACCUUUAACAAUCCACCAGUGAUUCUCUAUCAAAAUAAAGAUUACAGGAAUUCAGAAGGAUUUUGUUCUUCUGGUAGAAUGAUCUGAGAAAUGUGUUUUCCAUGGUUUACAAAAUGGAGGCUAAUCAUUUAGUAAACAGGGAUGUAUUAUACAUUAAUUUUAUAACAUCUUAUGGAAGAGUUACCUAUCCUUUUCUUGGAUAUCGAUGAAGAUGUAUUUAUUUCAAACAUGCCAACUAAUAUUCAAGACUUCUAUCUAUUGAUUUAGUGAAUGUUUAUCAGGAUUUUAAUGAACUACCAUCUUUUUAUCCUAAAAAGCAAUUUAAAAUUUAGAAUGAUCCUCUGUCUUAGUUGAAUACAAAGAAUGAUUCCCUGAACCCUCAACUAUAGGAAUGUUUUAAAUCAAUGGCAGACAUCAUCUCCAUUUAGAUUUUCAUUGUACAUUUUACAUUACAGUGUCUUUAAACAUCCAUGGGGAAGUAGAUAUAAAAGAUUCCCAUCAAAAACCUGAGUUUACAUUUCACACUAUAAAGAAAAGCAGGUAGUAAUUUGAUAGUUGAAUUAUAUUCAUUAUUGUUUUCAAAUCACCUCAUAUAUAAUGACUGGUUCCUUCUUUAUUCACGGCAGUGUUGACUGCCAUGUUUGAAUGACUGAUUUUGAAUAGGUAUCUGGUAUCUGUGCUCACUGUGAAUGACUCAUUUUGAGAAAUCAGUGUUCAACUCAUUUGAAUGUUGAAAUUCCCACAGAAAAUCCUCUGGGAAGAAUUUUUGGUUCUACCCGAACCCAAAUAGUCAGACUGCUUUUGUCCUGAAACCCAAACCAUGCAGCUGAACAGAACCGCCCCUGUUGACUGGGUCACAGGUGGGGCCAGCUGUCACCUGUCCACACACCCACUGCCUGGUCCCAAGAAGGCACCCUCCCAUGUAUGGGAGAGAGGGGGAAACGUACAGAUAGGGCCAGCGGCAUUGCCAAGAUGAUCACAUUCUCGUUGUUGUUGCUAGUUAAGGUUUUUCUGGAGUGUAUAUUUAACUUGUUGAUUUCUUUUCUCUCUGAUGUGUAAUUGUUGUUAUACAUUAACUUAACGCCGGGCAGCAGCAUGAACCUACAAAUCGCACUGGUGGGUUUUUGUGUUCUGCGCAGGACAAAGUUCAAAGCUCUGAUAAUUUCAUGGUCUGAGCUCUCCUGCUGAGCGGCCAGGACCUAAAAUAAACUCAUCCCCACUGUGGUGUGACCUCGGUGGUGGCCUUUUGAAGACUUGGAAAGUUUCUUCCAGAGAAACAACUGAAAUGAGAGAGCGAGAGAGACCCAGAAGUUGACUGGCUUUGAGGAAUGAGCUCAUACAGUUGCGGGGCUGGCAACAGCACAGUCUACGGGCAGCUCGCCAGGCUGGAGAGUCUAGCAGGAGCUGAUGUCGCGGUCUUGCCCCGAAGGCAAUCUUGAGGCUGAAUCCCUUUCUCUUUGGUAGACCUCAGUCUUUGAAGGCCACCUACUGAUUGGAUGAGGCCCAACCACGUUGUGGAGGGUCCUGUCAUCUGCUUGACUCAAAGUCUCCUGAUUUAACUGUCAGUCAUAUUUUUAAAAAGUGCCUUCACAGCAACAUCUAGACUAGCGUUUGACCAAAUGACUGACACCAUGGCCCAGCCAAGUGGACACGUGACAUUAACCAUCACCGCCGCCAAGUGGGGAGAUAUGGAUGUGACAGUUUACCUGUGUGGAUGAUAAAAGGUUCUCUUUCCUCUACCUGCUCACAUGAUGUGGAGUUAAUUUCAAAGUAAAAGUGGAAAAUUAGAGAGCUGGGGAGUAACCACAGGAAAAUUCGAUGCUUCACCAGUGAUGAGAAAUGAGAAGUGUGACUAAGGAUAGGAGGGGAGGACACGUCAAGGAUAUGCCAAGGUCAUGUCCUGCGGGUGCAGGGGCCGAAAGCAGCCUUCAGACAGGGAAGGGCGUGCGAGUUGCAAGAGCGGCGGCGACAGCCCAGUAAGGGUGAUGCCCCGGUGCCCCAGAGCCCCAGACUUGCACCCAGGCGGAAGCUCAACCACGCGCCCUGACUUAAGGCUCCAGCAGAAAUGAUUCUCGGUUGGCAUCAGGGUCUGAGUGAGGCCGCUGUGCCCAGCCCCCUCGCUAGAGAGAAGUUACCUUUCAGGAUCUUGCAGCCUUAAAUUUCAGGAAGUGAAAGCAAAGCACGGUAAUUGAGUGGGCACAUUAAUUUUCUGCAUGGAAAACACAGGUUUUAGAGCGAAGGGCUCCACGGAGCAAUUUGUUUGAAAUGGGCAACAGAACUAUUGGAAAAAAUCCAUCAAAUGGAGAGAAAAAGAAAGCAAUUCCAAGAGAUAGGGUAGGAAAUCGUAGUGCCUUUGGCUUCUGUGAGUCCUGGGGAAGUUCCAAUUGGCUAAUUUAUCAAGAAAGCGAUUCCGUUUCCACAGAGUCACACUUCGUCUGCUGUUCAGUUAAAAGGGCCUUGGUGUGGGUCAGGUGGGUGGGAGCGGGUUUGUGCAAACGGAGCAGAAUCAACAAAGAGCUUUGUAUUAAUCCUUUUCCUUCGGGAGGCCCUUCCCGCAGACGCCGAGCUCCACAUUGUGACACUUCGGCAGCAAACUCCUUUUUUCAGAGCAGCGUCACCUGUGCUGUCACUGGUCACAGGCGUCCAGGCUUUCAGACCCAUGAAUUCCUUCACUGUCCCAAGAAAGGGGAGAGUCCCAGGCCAACCCAGACCUCUUCUUCUGAGGCCUCAGGGUGUGCGGGGGCCAUGUCCAGAGGCCACUGAGCUCGCUGUGGCCCCCCAGGGUCCGGUGGCUGCCUUUCUGAGUGGCCGCAGCCGCCUCUGGUUCUAGCCAGCCGUGCUGCCAGUGUCCCUGUGGCCUCCUGCUACAGAGGUUUGACAGAGGCAUGGAGAACAGCCACCCAUCUCCUCCCCCUGCGUUUACUUCUCGUCGAUAUAAUUUGAUGUACGUCAUCCAGGUAGUGAAAGUACACUCCAAGUUAAAUGAUCUCCGAAUUUUCAAAUCGACGGCCUUUUCUCGGUACUCCUGGGUUCUCUGCAGCCAUGACCUGUCGAUCGACGUACUCGAAGCUCUGCCUGGUGGCCGUGCACCUGCCCGCCUGGCUCUGCCCUGCCGCUGCUCCGCAGCGCACUGAGGGCACGUCCUUCUGCAUGUGGGGCUCUGGAGCUCUCCUCCCUCUCAGCUGCAGCCGUUCACUCACUCCGCACAUCCCGGGACACCGGGGUCUCUUCUGAGUCAGGAACCAGUUCUGUGCACGUCUGAUGUGGCAGCGGAGCCCAGCCACCAGCUCUCAGCGCCGUGUCCCCUGCCUCGGGCUCCAGGGGACGGAGUUGGUCUGCCCACUGACGGGGCAUGGUGGGGCGGCGGGGAGCGCGGAGGGUGUGGCUGGGGAAGAGAGGCACGGGAGGCGGGUCUCCGCGGAUUUUGAGAGGCUCCGUGGCCACAGAGGCCUCCGUGUGGGUGGGACAGUGCAGACCUGCGGAGACGCGGGCGGACCGAGGUCCCGAGCGCCCGCACAGGUUCGGAUGAGAGCGUCCUGUUCUUCCUGCUGCUCCCUGAACACCCAGCUCGGAGCCUCGCACGUCCUGGGAGUUCCUUACGGUUUAUGAAAGUCGGUGUGAGUCAGGGCGGCUGUGAACGAUGAGGGCCUGAGGACCAGGCUGGGGAGGUUGACUUUCGACCCAGGAAGGGACAGGAGCGUGGAAGGUGCUGGCUGUGACUGGGGACACACUGUAGGACCUUUCCCUGAGGACAUGGCAUUGAGUGUGGAAUGGAUGGAGAGCAGGAAAUGAUCACAGCUCUCGGUGAGAAGUAGCACAGCCCGAGGCAGGGGGUGUGGCUGUGGACAUGGACACAGAGACCUGGGUGUGAGGGCGGGAGACAGGUGAGGACACGGCGGGGACGUGGGGUGUUCUCAAGCCAUGGGUGUGGACAGCGGGGAGGAUGGGCAGCGCGAGCAGGAGACGCUGGAGGUUUCCUUGUCUCGGGGGCUGCUGAGAAGAGGCCGUGGGUCCUGGUGGAGAUGCUCCUGGUUCUUAGGAGAGUUCAUCCCCGAGCAGGGAAGGGGGGGGGCACACGGAGCUGGAGAAAUCCCCUUGUGGAGCAAAGGGCAGCCGAUGAGGAGAUGGAUAGACGGGGAGCGGCGCCGGGUGGAGCAGCGGCCGGGGCGUCCCAGGAGCCUGGAGAAGAGCGGGGGGUCACGGCGUCCCCGGCUGCAGGGCAGUCGGGUGGGAGGUGAGGAGCGCGCCUUUGAUUGGUGCCGGGCAGUAGCACGUCGGCAGUCAUAUAGCAGGAGCGGUUUCCAAAUGCAGCGAGGCAGCGGCAGGGUUAAACGUGCAGCAGUUCACCCCCGGACAGUCGUCUGUCGAGGGCUCCGCGCGCAGACGCGUGCUGGGUGACGGAGCCACAGCGACGGGCAGCGCUUAGGCAGCCUGGUCCCUCGUAGCGUUUCCGGGCAGUGAGGUGAGAUGAGUCAUCAGGGAGCGGGGAUCCGUUGAGAGAAGUCCAGACGGGAGGGGUCCUGAGGACCGUAGGAACACAGGAGAGGGGCGGGAAUUGGAGAAGAGAGUGUGGGAGCCUCAGCUGUGCGAGCGUCUCGUCCAUCUUCCCACCUACAGGCCCACGUUUUAGGCCCUGACGGCGCCUCAUGGGUCUUCGCUGCCUCUGGUUACGUGGGCUCUGGCAGCUUCCCCCGAACAUGGAGAGCGUCCUCGAAGAACAGAUUCUAGAGCGGUGAGACCCCAGUUGUACAUGGAGCUGAAAUGCACGUUAUGUCGGGCGAGUGCCCGUAGACGCGGUGGUUUAAAUGUGCAUGUCUAGGUGUCCUGAACUUUUGUCGUUCAGAACAGGAUUUUUUUUUUUUAAAGAAAAGAAAGGAAAGCUCACGUAGCUAACAUCACGCUGAGAUUUCUCUUUCCCUUCUGGCCUGCAAGAGCAGGGCAGGACCUGGAGAGGAGAGUCCGGGCCCUUUGCUGGAGGCGGAGCAGCCCUGCGAGAGUCGGGACGUGGCCGGCGGGGGGACGCGCCUCUUGAUAUCGCGGUAGUUGUUUCCUGUGGACAUCUGAGUCGUUCACAGACCGUGGCGUUGGAUCGCUGAUUUUUCAUCCAACCUCCCCCUCACGUGACUUUUGAAAAGACAGUUACUUCACGUCUUCUUAACCUGUGACCGUUUUCGAACUGUGGUCCUUUGAUGACUGCAUCGGUGAUAUUCAGACUGAGUUGGCCACUGUGCUAAGUUGGGUUUCUUCCGUGGCCGAAUCACUUGUAUGCUGUUUAAAAAUUCUACCUGCUUAAGGUAUGUGGAGUCUUGACUUCACCGGCUGGGUGUGAGUCAAUGAUUUCGUCUGUACUGUCCAAGGACAGCUGCAAGAUGUUUGCCUGUUGGAGCAGGAGGUAAACCAGUGCACCUUGUAAGGGUGAAUUACGGCUAAAUUUGUGGGAAGAAGGCAGUGUAGCUUUCUGAAAGUUUCCCCAUCCCCUCCCUCCAGCGCCAGCCUCUGGCAACCACUGGUCUGCUUUCAGUCUCCAUGGACUUGCCUGUUCUCGACAUUUCAUAGAAAUGGGAUCACAUGGUAUAUGGGCUGUCGAGACUGGCCUCUGUCACUUAGGAUAAUAUUUUCAGUGUUCAUCCACGUGUCGUAUGUAUUAGUGCUUCUUCUUUGGCCAAAUAGUAUUCAGAUCUACGGGUACAUUAUAUUUGGUUUAUUUGUGCAUCAGUGGGUGGACAUGUGGUUUGUUUCCACUUUUUUAACUCUUAGGAAUAAUGUUGCUAUAAACAUUCAUGCACAAGUCUUUGUGUAGACAUGUUUGCGAUUCUCUUGGGUAGAUACCUAGGAGUGGAAUUGCUGGGUUGUAUGAUAACUUUGUAUUUGAGGAACUGCCCAACUGCUUUCUAAAGUGGCUGUGCCAUUUUACAUCCCCAUCUGCAGUGUAGGAGGGCUCUGAUUUCUCCACAUCUUUGUCAACACUUGUUAUUGUCGAGAACAAUACGGUAUUCUAGCAAACUCCUAAUUAUUCAGGCACUGAUUAUCUGUGAGGUGGGUUUUCUAGGAUUUUGGUUUCUCUUUCUUUCUUUGUCUUCCAAGCAACUGACCUGUUGGUUUCACUUCAACAAUAUCUAGUUUCACUUCCCUGGGGAUAGGAGGGAACGUGGGAGAAGUUAAACUGGUUAAUGUAGGUACAUAUUAACACCUGUUAACAAGUUGGCCAGAAAGGUUGAAGGAGAAAGGCUGACUGUGUUAGCUUACAUGAUAUUUUGGAUUAAUGUCAAGUAGCUCUCUGUAGGACCGGGGCUAUGUCCUGAGGUACUGUGAUAAUUUGUAAAUUUUGUGUCUUCUUUAAUGCAAAUAUUGACAAUUAAUUAUUUUCUAUAUUAUCUGAAUGACCACUGUAUAGGGGAAACUGCAACUUAAUUUUAUUGCCUCCGUUUGCAUUUGAAUUUAAUUUCUUGGUGCCAAGAAAUUCAACUAAAGUGGCGGUACUUAAUUUCAUGCAGGGUUUUCAAGACACCUAAAGGGGUCUGGGGUAAUAUUUCCAAGAGCUUCCUGUGUUACUCAAAUGGGAUGAGGGGGUGUCAUGGUCAGUACCUCUCCGAUGUUUUCCGUGAAGCCCCCGUAACGAUGGUGAGCUGGAAGACACACUCGCUCCAACGGGGUGAAGGCUUGGCGUCAAGAGGUCCUUCGCCAGCGAACGUCACUGCGAGCUGUCAACUCCGGUCUUUAACAGUCGCGGAGUUUACAUUCUGUCUCGUGGUGGUCACAGAAUAGAUAACUGACAUUUAUCUUACUAUAAAACCAAGUCUUAAAAAACAAAAGAUCAAAUAAAAAUAGCUGCACCUUUCCACAGCACACUAAAAAAUGCUCCAGUUUACAUAGAACACAUUGUUACUCCACGCCAUUCAUUUAUUUAAUAAAUGUUUAUUGGUUGCUGAACUAGGGAUAAAAAAGUAUAGAGAUAUUAUCCCUUAUUUUUUUCUUGAAGGAUUUCUUUUUUUUAAUCUGGAUUUUUAAAAAUUGAUGUAUAGUUGAUUUACAUUGUUGUGUUAGCUUCAGGUAUACAGCAAAGUGAUUCAGUUAUAUAUAUAUAUAUGUGUGUAUAUGUGUGUGUGUGUGUGUGUGUGUGUGUGUGUGUAUUCUUUUUCAGAUUCUUUUCCCUUAUAGGUUAUUACAAAAUACAUACUGAAUAUAGUUCUCUGUACUAUACAGUAGGUUUUUGCUAGUUAUCUAUUUUAUAUAUAGCAGUGUGUAUAUGUUAGUCCUUAAAGGUCCUACAAGGUACUUGAGGAAACAUCAUUAGACCUGAUAGAAGAAAUCAAGUCAACAUGAAAUGCAAACGACACAGGGAUGCUGUGGAGGAGAUGUGGGGGCCGGGGGCUUAAGUAUUCGUGACUAAGUCAUUGGAGAUGACAGCUCACAGCUGAAAGGACCUGAGUUUGCGUUCCAAGUUCUCAUGCUGGCUCUGUGACCUCUGUCAAGCGACCUGCUCGUUCUAAGCAUCCCUUUGCUUCCCCCAAGGGAUCAGGCAUGGUUAAGUUCUUAUUGGAAAUUUCUGGAACCGGGACCGUGCUGAGAGGCAGUGUGGUGUGGAGAAGAGAGAAGGUCAGGCUGCUCUCCUGUCAGUGCCCAGCUCGGGCCUCCUGCUGGGAGCCCUGGACCCCCUGUGAGUCCCAGGACCCACUGUCCUCUGGGUGAAAUGAAGGUAAUUAGAGCUGCGCGUGGAGCAGAAACGAGCGACCAGACUGCACGGAUCCGUGGGGGCAUCCGGUGUGGAAUCGGGAGGGUGAGAAGAGCAGAGGGACAUUUCCAAAACCUCUAGCAGCGAAGCAGGUGCAUGUACCGCACUGCACUAUAGCAUCAAUAAUAGCAGCGCAGGAAAGUGCGAGAGAAAGACGGAAGGCACCUAGCGGGUAGAAAGCAGGUGCAUGUACCGCACUGCACUAUAGCAUCAAUAAUAGCAGCGCAGGAAAGUGCGAGAGAAAGACGGAAGGCACCUAGCGGGUAGAAAGCAGGUGCAUGUACCGCACUGCACUAUAGCAUCAAUAAUAGCAGCGCAGGAAAGUGCGAGAGAAAGACGGAAGGCACCUAGCGGGUAGAAAGCAGGUGCAUGUACCGCACUGCACUAUAGCAUCAAUAAUAGCAGCGCAGGAAAGUGCGAGAGAAAGACGGAAGGCACCUAGCGGGUAGAAAGCAGGUGCAUGUACCGCACUGCACUAUAGCAUCAAUAAUAGCAG